AACGAACGCUGGCGGCAUGCCUAACACAUGCAAGUCGAACGAGAUCUUCGGGUCUAGUGGCGCGCGGGUGCGUAACGCGUGGGAAUCUGCCCUUUGGUUCGGAAUAACAGUUGGAAACGACUGCUAAUACCGGAUGAUGACGAAAGUCCAAAGAUUUAUCGCCAGAGGAUGAGCCCGCGUAGGAUUAGCUAGUUGGUGUGGUAAAGGCGCACCGAGGCGACGAUCCUUAGCUGGUCUGAGAGGAUGAUCAGCCACACUGGGACUGAGACACGGCCCAGACUCCUACGGGAGGCAGCAGUGGGGAAUAUUGGACAAUGGGCGAAAGCCUGAUCCAGCGAUGCCGCGUGAGUGAUGAAGGCCUUAGGGUUGUAAAGCUCUUUUACCCGGGAUGAUAAUGACAGUACCGGGAGAAUAAGCUCCGGCUAACUCCGUGCCAGCCGCCGCAGUAA
rnacentral:rRNA from 1 species